ensembl:scaRNA
UGGACAUUUACUAAUGUUUGGUUUCUUCUCAAGGUGAAGAUAAACUUUUGUGAAUGUCCUAGAGAAAUAUAGUAGCUUUCUGUUCACCCUUGGCAAGUAGAAAGGGUGGAUCGUUCCACUACUGACAUUU